AGUGAACGCUGGCGGUAGGCCUAACACAUGCAAGUCGAACGGCAGCACAGUAAGAGCUUGCUCUUACGGGUGGCGAGUGGCGGACGGGUGAGGAAUACAUCGGAAUCUACUUUUUCGUGGGGGAUAACGUAGGGAAACUUACGCUAAUACCGCAUACGACCUACGGGUGAAAGCAGGGGAUCUUCGGACCUUGCGCGUUUGAAUGAGCCGAUGUCGGAUUAGCUAGUUGGCGGGGUAAAGGCCCACCAAGGCGACGAUCCGUAGCUGGUCUGAGAGGAUGAUCAGCCACACUGGAACUUAGACACGGUCCAGACUCCUACGGGAGGCAGCAGUGGGGAAUAUUGGACAAUGGGCGCAAGCCUGAUCCAGCCAUACCGCGUGGGUGAAGAAGGCCUUCGGGUUGUAAAGCCCUUUUGUUGGGAAAGAAAAGCAGCAGGUUAAUACCCCGCUGUUCUGACGGUACCCAAAGAAUAAGCACCGGCUAACUUCGUG
rnacentral:rRNA from 1 species